GGAGGGAUGGCCGAGUGGUUUAAGGCGGCGGUCUUGAAAACCGUUGGGCGCAAGCCCCGCAGGUUCGAAUCCUGCUCCCUCCGCCA
rnacentral:tRNA from 1 species